GGCACUGUGGUAUAGUGGUUUGAGGGUUGGACUAGGACUCUGGAGACCAGGGUUCAAAUCCUGGCUUGGCCA